CCUCACCAGCUGAUGGCUCACCAGGUCCAGCUCUGACUCCCUGGAGGUUAUCCUUGCCCUCCAAAGUGAUAAAGUGAUUCAUCAAAUGAUUUGAACCUGCACCACUCUGUGUCUGAAGAAAUGAAAAAGAAUAUGUAAUUUUGAGAGGAAAAACUCACCCG